UACGGGGGGGGCAAGCGUUGUUCGGAAUUACUGGGCGUAAAGGGCUCGUAGGCGGCCAACUAAGUCGGACGUGAAAUCCCUCGGCUUAACCGGGGAACUGCGUCCGAUACUGGAUGGCUUGAGGUUGGGAGAGGGAUGCGGAAUUCCAGGUGUAGCGGUGAAAUGCGUAGAUAUCAGGAAGAACACCCGUGGCUAAGGCGGCUCUCUAGUACGGUACUGACGCUGAGACGCGAAAGCGUGGGGAGCGAACAGG
rnacentral:rRNA from 1 species